GUAAGGUUAGGGCAUGAAGUUUAUAUUGGGAAAUAAUUUGCUGCAUGUGUGACUUUUGUCCAUAUCUUCAAGCGGCUGGAUGAUAAAUCUGAUUCAUCCCCACCUUCUUUGACUGCAUUUCCGAAAGAUUAUUUUCUCUCUGCAUCCAUCUGUGGAGUCAUUCAGAGGUUAUCAUUUCUGGGCCGUUGUUAUUGGAUAUUGUGCUCCAGUUCGGGACGCCAUUGGUCUGGUGCUUGUCAGUCUGUGGCGCGCCGAUGCUCGUGAACGCGCCGCGCAGACAGUGCACGACACGCGAGUGGCCAGAGAGUGUCUGGAGUCUGUCUGAAACUGAUAAAAAUGGUGAUGGAGUUCAUCCAGAGUCUCGCUCACAGUCAUUAGAAAAACAAAGGGAGACAGAGCGGAAUUAUACAAUCUUUCAACACUGUAGUCCGAUCGUAGCUUGACAACUAGAUUAUUUAGCGCAUUUCAAAGUUUUAUUCAUGUUUUUCACCAGACAGACAGUUCAUUAAUUCACAGGAUAGUGAAGAGGAACAGAGAUGAUGUGUCUGCAGAGAUGAUGCAGUAUAACCCAUGUGGAGGUGCUGGUGUGUGUAUGUGAGACUUAAGAGAGAGACCGAGUGAGAAAAAGCAAGAGACUGGAGUUUCAAUGCCUCUGCUUCCUUUUGUCCUCUGAGUUGACUUCUUAGGAGCCCAGUGCCGGAGUUCCAUACAUGAGAGAUCAAGAGUUACCAAGGUGCUCAGGAGAUAGACACACACUCACACUCAUUCACUCAGACUCAUUUCCUUUGCAUGUCAGAGCCCUGCUGGGGUUUCAGUAGAGGUCACUGACACUGCCAGUGGAGCUUUCCCCUAAAUGAAAAACCAACCCCUGUGUAUUUGUGUGUGUCUGUGUGUUGCUUACUGAAAACCGUAAGGUGCUAAAGAAGAGGGUCCUGAAUUGAUUUAGUUAUUAUAAAUGACUGUACUUAGUCAGGGGAUGUUCUGUGAUGCAUUUCAUGUUAACGUCUUCACUAAAUCUUGUAAAAUGCAAGUCUUGUAUAGGUUAAGAGUUAAAGUUGCAGAUGUGCAGCAUAGAUACACUAGAGUGGAGGAUAAGAUAUGAGAUGCUCUUUUCCCAUCAGCUUGGUUCAGCAUUAACUUGUAUUGUAACAAGAUUAAAAUAUAUUUGUCCUGCGGAUUAGCAUUCUUUACCAUCCCAUUGGUUUCUUUGCCGGACCGGUCUGCGUAUGUGCAGCAGUGUUUUUGAUCUGCCGUGCGUAGUGAGGACCCUGGCUUGGGUCUGGCCAUCCAAAGGCCUGGUGUGAAAUCGGCCUGAUGUCAUCCCUUUUGUCCUCCAUUUGCAUCCCUCACUCCUUUAAUGACGUUUCCGAACCUCGCAGGCACAUUCCUCAGUGGUCCAUAGGAAGCGUUUGGAGAACUCGGGGCAGAAAAGCACAGUGGGAGUGUUUGGAGAGUUUGGGGGGGUCGAGGGUGUGCGGAUCUUUUGUAUGGAAAGCAGACGAGUAGACAUCCGUAUUCUGAUACUUUCCCUGCACCUCAGGCUUUUCUGUUGUUUGUCUGGAUUGCUAUCAGGCAAAGUUUAAGUCUGAUAGAAAUUGUGUAAUUUGAUCAUGUAUACAUGAACGAUGCCUUUAAUGAAAGCACUCUGUUUGUGGCCAGAAGUGUAUUUUGAUGUUUAUCUUAGCAGUGUAAAUACAACAGGUUAUGACAGCAGAUUUCAUUAAAUGACAAUGGUGUACUUUCUUACCCUAGAAGAGCGUUUUUAUGUGCACAUAAUUGACACUGCCUUCUGAGACAUAUAUGAAGUUGAGACCACAGUUCAAGUGUAAAUAUCUAAAUAAAGUGUGUGUGUGUGUGUGUGUGUGUGUGUGUGUGUGAUAGUGAAAGUUAAAUGUGGGUGUAAGGUGAGGAAAGCGAGAGCUGAAGGGGGGGAGGGACUAUUCCUUGCAGAGGAAAUGAGCCACCUGCAGCCAUGACAGGAGGUUUUGACCUUCAUUUGGGGUUUCUUUCUCUCUCUCUGUCUCUAAAUCUCUCUCUCUCUCUCUCUCACACACACACACACACAGUCUGUCUCUCAUUACUUUGCUCACACAAACACACAUACUUCUUCUCUAUAGAAAGCCAGUCAGGGAGCUCUCCCCUCAACCAUUGGGCAUCACUUCCUCAUACAAGGGGCGCUAGAAAAGAAAUGUAGAUGAGGCAUUGUCAUUGAGCAGGUCAGUGCAUGGGAAAUGCCAGUUGUCUGUGCCCCCCUUCACCUCCCCCCAGAGGACAGGUAGACUAUGACCAGUUUUUUUUAACUAAAGAUCAUUUACAUAUUUUAGGGAAAGUCAGGUUACUGUUUGGGUGACUUUCCUAAAAGGACAUAUCUUUUAUGUGUUUAAAAAGUAGUUUAUAUGUUGAUGAGUCCUGUUGUCUGGCUGCUCUCUGGCAGCCCCUAUGUAAACAUUAGUUUUAAUUGUCCAGGACACUAUUGCUAGCUCUUUUUGUCUGUUUAGGGGCACAUUUUCUGCUUUUAUUUUAUUUUGUAUGUUUAAAUAACAUGAUUGUUGGCUUGCAGAUAUUGUAGAGCAUUGUAUUAGGUGGUCUACAAAGUUUAUAUGAAGUUUAUACCCCAAAUGCCUUUGUUUUAUUUGAUCAAAAAUUAUACAUUUCACAAUUUAAUUUAAAUGG